UGGCGGACGGGUGAGUAAUGUCUGGGAAACUGCCCGAUGGAGGGGGAUAACUACUGGAAACGGUAGCUAAUACCGCAUAACGUCGCAAGACCAAAGAGGGGGACCUUCGGGCCUCUUGCCAUCGGAUGUGCCCAGAUGGGAUUAGCUAGUAGGUAAGGUAACGGCUUACCUAGGCGACGAUCCCUAGCUGGUCUGAGAGGAUGAUCAGCCACACUGGAACUGAGACACGGUCCAG
rnacentral:rRNA from 1 species